GCCCAGGGGCCCCAGAUCUUCCUUCCUGCCUUCCUUCACUCACUCAACACAGGUCUCCUGGUUGCCUCUCCGCUGCACUCUGCUGUCGCCAGCGCGCCUUGACUUUGUUCCUUUUUUCCAGGCUGAGAGCGAUGGUCCCACCCCAAUCUCCCGAAUGCCAAGCCUGGGCAAGGGAGUGGAAAAUCCUUUGAAAUUCCCAAUAAAUAAAUAAAAAUAACUUGGAGAGCUUGUCGUCAUAGAGACCAAAGGCUUGGUUGGUCGUCAUGGCAACCCUGGGACAGCCGCUGCCUCAAGUGAUCUGCAUGGUUGAGAAAGAAGGGCCGCGGGGUGGAGAGACAGGGCCCCAGCUACAGGGUGAGCGCCGGCGCCAGCUGAUUCUCCAGGCGGGGGCAGAGCAAGGGCAGAGUGAGUUGGGGGUGCAAGGGGAGAGCACACUGUCUUCUGGAACUUUCUUUCCCAGCAAGCUGCCACGCUUUUCAUCAGCAUCAUCCUGAGAGGCGCCUGAAGCUCCGCUUCCCCGGCCCCGGGGCUGUGAGGGGAGCCAGGCCUCCUCCCUGCUCAGCUGCCUGGGCAUCUCCAUGACAACACCGGCCCCUCCCCUCCGUGGGAGCCAGCCCCUGCCUGGGACCUCAGGGAGUUGCCCAGGUGGCGACCUACUGAGGACGAGGAGCCCACCUUUCCUGUUUCCCCCGCAUGCCCAUCGGAGCCCAAGGGAUGGCAGAAGCUCAGGAAAACAAGAGUCAUGGAGAAGCCCAUUCCCUGGGUCUCGGCCCGGCUGAGACGCCGGCUGCCUGGACUCAUCGCCUCCCAAGCUUGAACUUGACCCUGCCCUGCUCUCUGAACUUCAAGGCAGGACGCUCCCCGGCCCUUGCAGUGCCCGCUUCCCCUGCAGUGCUGGCCAACAGCAACAGAGAGCAAACAAUUUCAAUUUUUCUAGCAGCCUCAUCAAAAAGUAAGAAGACAAAGAUGAAAUGAAUUUCACUAAUGCGUUUCCUUCAAUCCAUUAUCUCUAAGAUGCUAUCUCCAUACGUAAUGGGUGUCAGCUGUAACUGGAACGUUUUGCAUUCUGUCUUUUGUUUUUUUUU
rnacentral:lncRNA from 1 species